UCUCUGCACUGCGGAGUGACAUCAGGUGACUGCGCACCGUUGACCCGGCCUGACCGCUCUCACGCGCUCCGGUCAGCCCCAGAGCAAAACGACGCCACGAUGAGUUUCGCACGACAUGAAAGACAGCGGAGUGGACAGCAGCAGACGGCCAGACAACUUCCUGAUGUGUGCAACGACUACAACCGUAAGGGAGGAUGCACCCGCUCCUGGUCCAGUUGCCAUGAACUGCACUUGUGCACGUACUUCCUUCAAAACAGAUGCACAGACGAGCGAUGCAACAAGGCCCACGCCCUGGAGACGCCCAGAAACAUCCUGCUGCUCGAGGGUCUCGGAUGGCAGGGUUCCGACGACCUGGCUCUGGCGCUGGACAUCCUCCGCCGGCGGGCUCGAGGUCAGGCGACAAGCAUCUGCGUCAUGUACAACGAAGGCAUCUGCAACGACCCCAGCUGUGGACGGCUUCACAUCUGCUACCGUCGUGUAGUGGAUACCUGUCCGCUGGACGACUGCGGCCUCAGUCACGACCUGCAGGAUGGCGGGCACAACGCAGACCUUCUAGCCAGUGUGGGUCUAACCGAUACCCCUGUGACAGAGCUCCUCAGGCGACUGCAGGAACAGGUGCGCCGCCGGGCGCCCCAGCCGGCGCUCUGCAGAGCCUACGUCAUACAGGGCUGCCAGGGAUACUGCCUGCGACUACACUACUGCGAGGCUUUCCUGUAUAGUCGCUGCAGGUUCGGAGACAGGUGCUCCAAUAGUCACAGCCUGAAGGAAUCGCACAACCGGCGGGUGCUGACAUUCUUUGACUGGACGGAGGAACAAGUGCUGGAAGAGCUGAGGAAGGAAGGAGUGGGCAGGUCAGCUUCUCGGACAGCCAGAACUCGAACUCCGACAGAACGGGACGACGAGGAGGAAAGGUCCGACCGACAGGACCUCUGUGAAGGAUCGCAGCGGGGCCCCAGUGCCGAGACCCCCGUCAAAAGGAUAGAUAGCGCUAAGGAGGUCGCAAAUCAUGUGAGCGAUUCAAUUGACUUGUCGAACCGGCAUCCAAAGAGACAUUGCAAAGUGCGUCAGCAUAUAGCAAGAGCGCGCCAGCAGGCAAAGGAAGACGUCUCGAGCCAGCAGAAGGAGGCGGAGAGACAGCAGUGGAAGACGGAGAGACAGCAGUGGGAGGCAGAGAGACAGCAGUGGGAGGCGGAGAGACAGCAGUGGGAGGCGGAGAGACAGCAGUGGGAGGCGGAGAGACAGCAGUGGGAGCGAAAAGAGACGGAAUGGAAGGAAAAGGAAAGGGAUUGGAGGGAAAAGGAGCGGGAUUGGAAGGAAAAGGAGAGGGAAUUGGAGAAAAAGGAGAGGAAAUGGAAAAGCAAGGGAAAAGAAUGGAAAAAGAAGAAGGCAGAUUGGCGCCAAAAGGAAAACAAGUGGCUAAAAAAGGAAAUAAAGAACAUACGUGAGCGACAGCAGUGGCAGCAAAAGGAAACUCAAAGGGAAGCAAAGGAAAGGAAAUGGGAGGAAAAAGAAACGGAAUGGAAAAACAAGGAAGCGGAAUGGCAGAGCAAGGAGACAGAAUGGCAGCAGAGAGAAACAGAACGGCAAGAAAAGGAAAGAAAGAGAGAAAGGGAGACCCAACAAAGGGAACAAAAAACACGCGAGACAGAGGAACGAGUGCGGAAAGAAUCCGAAAAUAAACUAAGAGAAGAAAAUGAACGUGAGAGGCAAAUAUAUAAACGGGAAAAAGAAGAACAUUUGAAGGCAAUGGCAGAAAAAGAUUCGCGAGAAAAAGAGUUAAUGCAGAAUUAUGCAAAGCUGAUCAUAGAUCAAGAAGGCAACGAGAAGGCCAUGGCCACUAUUCAGCAAAUGAACGCUGGUUACCAACGGCAGAUCGCCAGUAUGCAGACUCUGGUAAAAGAGCUGAAGGAUAAAGACCAACAGCGAGAGACCAAAGUAAAAGCAGAGGAGGAGAACAAGAAAAAGAAAAUUGCAGAGCUGACAGAAAAGGUACAAAGCAGCGAGAAGAUCAUGUCCAUCACUCAGCAAAGAAACGCUGAUUAUCAACGGCAGAUCGCCAGUAUGCAGACUCUGGUAAAAGAGCUGAAGGAUAAAGACCAACAGCGAGAGACCAAAGUAAAAGCAGAGGAGGAGAACAAGAAAAAGAACAUCGCAGAGCUGACAGAAAAGGUACAAAGCAGCGAGAAGAUCAUGUCCAUCACUCAGCAAAGGAACGCUGAUUAUCAACGGCAGAUCGCCAGUAUGCAGACUCUGGUGAAAGAGCUGAAGAAUAAAGACCAACAGCGAGAGACCGAAGUAAAAGCAGAGGAGGAGAACAAGAAAAAGAAAAUUGCAGAGCUGACAGAAAAGGUACAAAGCAGCGAGGAAAUCAUGGCCAUCACUCAGCAAAGGAACGGUGAUUAUCAACGGCAGAUCGCCAGUAUGCAGACUCUGGUAAAAGAGCUGAAGGAUACAGACCAACAGCGAGAGACCGAAGUAAAAGCAGAGGAGGAGAACAAGAAAAAGAAAAUUGCAGAGCUGACAGAAAAGGUACAAAGCAGCGAGAAAAUCAUGGCCAUCACUCAGCAAAGGAACGCUGACUAUCAACGGCAGAUCGCCAGUAUGCAGACUAUGGUAAAAGAGCUGAAGGAUAAAGACCAACAGCGAGAGACCGAAGUAAAAGCAGAGGAGGAGAACAAGAAAAAGAAAAUUGCAGAGCUGACAGAAAAGGUACAAAGCAGCGAGAAAAUCAUGGCCAUCACUCAGCAAAGGAAAGGUGAUUAUCAACGGCAGAUCGCCAGUAUGCAGACUCUGGUAAAAGAGCUGAAGGAUAAAGACCAACAGCGAGAGACCAAAGUAAAAGCAGAGGAGGAGAACAAGAAAAAGAACAUUGCAGAGCUGACAGAAAAGGUACAAAACAGCGAGAAGAUCAUGUCCAUCACUCAGCAAAGGAACGCUGAUUAUCAACGGCAGAUCGCCAGUAUGCAGACUCUGGUAAAAGAGCUGAAGGAUAAAGACCAACAGCGAGAGACCGAAGUAAAAGCAGAGGAGGAGAACAAGAAAAAGAAAAUUGCAGAGCUGACAGAAAAGGUACAAAGCAGCGAGAAAAUCAUGGCCAUCACUCAGCAAAGGAACGCUGAUUAUCAACGGCAGAUCGAAGGGCUGACAAAACUCCGAGAGCUGGUUAGAAAGCAGCAAGACUACGUGGAAUGCAGCGUCUGCCUCGACACCUUCGUUGAGCCAGUAACCCUGGAGUGUGCCCACACAUUUUGUAAAGUCUGCAUUGAAAACACACCGAGACCUGGCGAAGCAAAGCUCUAUAACAUAUCCCCUCCCCAACGACCUCAAUGUCGCAUGUGUCCGCUAUGUCGCCAAUUGUCAAAAGUUCAGGUCCUCAGUCUGGUUCUCAAAAACAUAUCCGGCACCUUCUCUGGCGAUCUACUGCAAGGAACCGCCAGUAGACCAGCGGCGCCGGCACCAGAAGAACGGCAAUGAUACGACGAGUGUGCGAAUUCUUGCGGCAGGGCAUUUAGUGUUAUCGCGAAGAGCGGCGGAGUCUGAUAGAUGGUGUUAUGGCGCUACUUAGAAGACGAACCGCCAGUGCCCCCACAACGACUGUGCGGCGGGCAGGUGCAUCGUGUGUCGGGAGGCGUCCGACACGCCCCGGCACUUCUUCUUCCGGUGCCCGGCCCUCAUGAGCCGGCGCCUCCGAGGGUUCAGGUCAAUCUGUCCGAGCCCGGAGGCAUAGUCCGUUAUGGAAAGGUGGCGGCCCUGGCGACCGCCAUGAGAGACCUCCAGAGCCGUACGGCUACGCCGCGAGGAGCGACUGGAGGGACAGCACGACAACAACUGUGGGGAUGAAAGGGAGUCCCGCUCCGGUAUUGUGAUGCUACAGGGAUGUUCACGAAAAACUGACACAUUUUUAAACGACUUUGUGAACAAGUGAGAGCUCAUAGACACUUGAUUUGUAUACCUACCAUUCGAAAGCCUGUUGAGAAAAGUUUUGUAUGUGCAUAACUCCUUUAGGUAGCAUACCAGGAGUUUUCAAACAAAUAAGAAAACAUUAAAAUAGGGAAAUUUGACUUGGCGACGAAAUUUAGCGGAAAAACAAUGAAGCUUUCGCGGCGACGAUCUGGCACCAAGACUGAACCAGUCCACGAAUUCGUCUAAAAUUUGGCAUAUUAAUUUUUCGAGGGAUUAUUUUUUAUACUAUUGGCAUAUUGUUGGCAAAUUCCUAAGGAACGCCAAGAUUGGUGGGUAUGGAAGUGCUGUUGUCAUAAAUCAUAGCCACAGGCUGACAGUGGCUGUAGAGUGUUACCGCACCAUCUUUUAACGGCUCCCGUUAGCUGCUACAGCGGAAAUGCGCCGACACCUACACCAUUCGGUCGUUCUGGCACGUCGGGGCCACCCCACGUGCAGUAACGGUGAUCAUCGGUCUCAUACGAGAACAGGGGGGAGGGGGUAUUAUCUCGCGCAUCGCCUCUCACCCAUAGCCGGCCAUUUCUCUCUACCUCAACACCGACGUCUUUUCCUGUAAGUUCACGUGAGAGACAUGGUCUGUAUAGCAGCGGCCCAAAGGACUUCAAAACUCCUGACGAGUGCGGUGGGAGGUGUUGCAAUUCUCCAGGCACGUGCCCGUAAACGGGGGAUAAUUUCCUGUUUCGGGCUGAGUCGUGCACUGUUCCAAAAACUCGUCAUCUGCAAAAUACGCUUUAGAAACGAAAAUGAUAAGUCCCCAAAAUACCUCAAUAAAAACUUAAAAGUCCACUCUAUUUGCACAUACCAUGAUCAACGUGCUGAGGGCAAGUGUUCUCUCGUUAUUCGGAAAUAAGAUAUGUCAGUUUUUUGUGAACAUCCCUGUAUAUAUUUAUUACACGGGGUUAAGUGCCUAUAGCAGCGACGCGCUGUGAUUUUGUUAUGUAAUACGAUGCAUAGUGCUCACCAAUGUCCUCGGGCUCAAAGUUAUUUGGCACAGCCGAGCUACUGUUAUUUCGUUAUCUGUGAUGUUCAUGUAUUGUGUACAGUGUACAUUAUUUCUCGCUCGCCACGGGCAAGGGCUUGAUGGGCCCAGCCAAUCUGCUGUGAUUUCAGUAUCUGUGAUACUCAUGUAUCAUAUCCCCAAAUAUGAAUGUUUC